UACGGAGGGUGCAAGCGUUAUCCGGAUUUACUGGGUUUAAAGGGUGCGCAGGCGGAUAUGUAAGUCAGUGGUGAAAUCUCCGGGCUUAACCCGGAACUGCCGUUGAUACUAUAUAUCUUGAACUGUGGAGGUAAGCAGAAUAUGUCAUGUAGCGGUGAAAUGCUUAGAGAUGACAUAGAAUACCUAUUGCGAAGGCAGCUUACUACGCAGAUAUUGACGCUCAUGCACGAAAGCGUGGGGAUCAAACAGG
rnacentral:rRNA from 1 species